rnacentral:rRNA from 1 species
GAUCAUGGCUCAGGAUGAACGCUGGCGGCGUGCCUAAUACAUGCAAGCCGAACGCUGGAGAUCUAGCUUGCUAGAUCGAAGGAGUGGCGAACGGGUGAGUAAUACAUAAGCAACCUACCCACGAAGACUGGGAUGAUCUCUGGAAACGGGGACUAAUACCGGAUAGGUAAUCGGAAGGCAUCUUCUGGUUAUUAAAGGUUAAAAACACUGGUGGAUGGGCUUAUGGCGCAUUAGUUAGUUGG